GAUGAACGCUAGCGGCAGGCCUAAUACAUGCAAGUCGAGGGGCAGCGCAGUGUAGCAAUACAUGGGCGGCGACCGGCAAACGGGUGCGGAACACGUACGCAACCUUCCUUCAAGUGGGGGAUAGCCCAGAGAAAUUUGGAUUAAUACCCCGUAAGAUGGUGGUGUGGCAUCACACAGCCAUUAAAGCUGAGGCGCUUGAAGAUGGGCGUGCGUCUGAUUAGGUAGUUGGUGAGGUAACGGCUCACCAAGCCGACGAUCAGUAACUGGCGUGAGAGCGCGACCAGUCACACGGGCACUGAGACACGGGCCCGACUCCUACGGGAGGCAGCAGUAAGGAAUAUUGGUCAAUGGACGCAAGUCUGAACCAGCCAUGCCGCGUGAAGGAUGAAGGUCCUCUGGAUUGUAAACUUCUUUUAUGUGGGAAGAAACCACUCUUUUCUAAGGGUGUUGACGGUACCAUAGGAAUAAGCACCGGCUAACUCCGUGCCAGCCGCCGCCGUAA
rnacentral:rRNA from 1 species